AUGAGCUCUUGGCAGGAGAACACCAGCCCAUGCAACUGGACGAGCAUCAUGUGCACGGCUGUUUGCCAUGGCCGCUGCAUGCCUUGGGUGGUGACCAACAUCUCCUUGCCGGAUGCUGGCAUCCAUGGCCAGCUUGGUGAGCUCAACUUCUCGGCUCUUCCAUUCCUCGCAUAUAUUGACCUCAGCAACAACAGUCUCCAUGGUGCACUACCCGUCAGUAUCAGCUCCCUGUUAGCACUUUCAGUACUUAACUUUCGCCACAACCAGCUCACAGGAAAAAUUCCUUAUGAGAUUGGUGGUCUGCAAAAUCUUAGCUUGCUUGCUCUAGGAUUUAACAGAUUCACGGGACAUAUCCCUUCGUCUCUGGGCAACCUAACAAUGUUAACUAUUCUUGUCAUUCACCAAAACAUGGUAUCAGGUCCCAUUCCUGAGGAGAUUGCAAGGCUUGUCAACCUACAAAUUCUACAGCUAAGUAAUAGCACCUUAAGAGGCAUGAUACCAAAACCCUUGGAAAUCUGA
rnacentral:rRNA from 1 species